UUGACACUUUGGAUAGAAAAU
rnacentral:piRNA from 1 species